rnacentral:rRNA from 1 species
CGCUCCGAAUGCCCUAAUUUUAAGUUUGAUCAUGGCUCAGAUUGAACGCCGGCGGCAAGGCCUAACACAUGCAAGUCGAACGGUAGCACAGAGAGCUUGCUCUCGGGUGACGAGUGGCGGACGGGUGAGUAAUGUCUGGGAAACUGCCCGAUGGAGGGGGAUAACUACUGGAAACGGUAGCUAAUACCGCAUAACGUCGCAAGACCAAAGAGGGGGACCUUCGGGCCUCUUGCCAUCGGAUGUGCCCAGAUGGGAUUAGCUUGUAGGUGAGGUAACGGCUCACCUAGGCGACGAUCCCUAGCUGGUCUGAGAGGAUGACCAGCCACACUGGAACUGAGACACGGUCCAGACUCCUACGGGAGGCAGCAGUGGGGAAUAUUGCACAAUGGGCGCAAGCCUGAUGCAGCCAUGCCGCGUGUAUGAAGAAGGCCUUCGGGUUGUAAAGUACUUUCAGCGGGGAGGAAGGGAGUGAGGUUAAUAACCUCAUUCAUUGACGUUACCCGCAGAAGAAGCACCGGCUAACUCCGUGCCAGCAGCCGCGGUAGUACGGAGGGUGC